rnacentral:rRNA from 1 species
UUGCACGCUGGCGGCAUGCCUUACCCAUGCCAGUCGAACGGUAACAGGUUAAGCUGACGAGUGGCGAACGGGUGAGUAAUGUAUCGGAACGUGCCCAGUCGUGGGGGAUAACUGCUCGAAAGAGCAGCUAAUACCGCAUACGACCUGAGGGUGAAAGCGGGGGAUCGCAAGACCUCGCGCGAUUGGAGCGGCCGAUAUCAGAUUAGGUAGUUGGUGAGGUAAAGGCUCACCAAGCCGACGAUCUGUAGCUGGUCUGAGAGGACGACCAGCCACACUGGGACUGAGACACGGCCCAGACUCCUACGGGAGGCAGCAGUGGGGAAUUUUGGACAAUGGGCGCAAGCCUGAUCCAGCCAUGCCGCGUGCGGGAAGAAGGCCUUCGGGUUGUAAACCGCUUUUGUCAGGGAAGAAAAGGUUCUGGCUAAUACCUGGGACUCAUGACGGUACCUGAAGAAUAAGCACCGGCUAACUACGUG